rnacentral:lncRNA from 1 species
UGUGUUGUACCAUGAUCGUGACUACGCCAGGUUCUUCAUGCUCGAGACCAUCGCCAGAGUGCCGUAUUUCGGUGAGGGUCUCAUCUUACUCAUUGAAUUUUGCCAACAGUUGUAAAUUAACUUAUUACAUGUUGGACAUGGGCAUGCUAUCUUAGAUUUUGAGAUUGACCAAAUACUGAAUUAAAACAUAGCUAGAGGAAAACAAUUGCUCCUGAUACUUCAUAUCUGCAUAAUAUUGUUGAUUAAAUUCAGUUGGACUUGAAAGAAUUCCAGUUUCCAUUUGAGCUUCUUUUCUAGAUUACUUCAUCAUUGUGUUUUCUGUUUGAUAGGUUAGUUUUUUUAACCAAAAUUCACUUUUCAUUAGGAUACUGGAACGUUAAAUCCUGCAUUACAUUACUUAGUACUCCCAUCUUUAGGUGCUCCUAUUGUUCUUAUCUUUGGCAAUGCAAGGGGUAUUUCAUGGACUUAAAGAUACAAGGAUGCCUCUAUGGAGGUGUUUGGUUUUGGUGGUGGUAACGCAGGUAAAUGGAUCACGGUGGGAUCUUGGAUGUAAUGGACCAUUCGUUGCUCUGUUUGGUUUGGACCAGUAAAGGAUCACAUUAGGUGUAGGUACUUGAUUUGGAAGCAGAGGAGAAACGAUGGUUAUGCCAUGGGGAUCCAGAGAAGAAGACUACCUCAAACAACAGGGGGUGUACAUCUCUAGGCUGUACGCCACCGGCGUCGCCGCUCACGAUAGGUAGGCGAUAGGAUCGAGAUCUGCGGCAGACGCGAUCUGGGCUGGGAGGCUUCGCUUGACUCGACUAGCUCUGGUAACGCGUUUCAUUUAUGGUGGGGAUAGUCCGAUAUCGGAUUUGAGCUAUGGUAGGACUUGUUAAUGCAGAACCUGUUUACGUGCAAAUUGAACCAAACAAACGUAACGGUAUGUAAUAAUGAUGUAAUCGGAUAACGGGCAGAAUAGUCCGAACCAAACACCAUAUGUAACUCGUAUAGUAAUAUUUCCUUUCUUGGAUAGCACUAUCUUUCUUCUCUCUCUUUCCACUUAUUUAGGACAACAUGGUCUUACACAUCUUUACCAUUUUAAUUAUGUCUCCAGAAACUCAAUAAAAUUUGAUAAUCUGGUAAGUUUUGUUUUUAUUAUUCUAAAGGUCUGCACGCAUUAUCUGAGAAGCAACGUAUAAAGCCAUGUUUUUCUUCUUAUGUUCAUAUUUUUACAUCUACACCACUUACUGUAAGCAACACACCAAGCACUCCAUGAGCAUAGAACAAAAAUGAAUAUAUAGGAUUUAGUCAAUACAAAAAACUGAUGUUUUUUGUGUUCUUUAGCGUGCAGUUUAGCAACUGUGCACUAAUAGCUAUUUGUUCGAGAACGGCAUAAGGAAGGUAUACAAUUUAUUUCCAGAUUUUGAUGCAUAGAUUAAUAGACCAUCCACCUUAGUUAUUUUCAUACUUGCAUCAUUUAGUGUGUACCUUAGUUUGUUGUAGUUGUGCCUACUAAUCAAGCUGCCGUAGUUGUUAACAUGUUGAUUCGACAGUGUAGGAAUUCAUCAUGGUUUGGGUAUAUCAUUAGCAUUGUGAUUGGAAACAUCAAGUAUUCAGAUCAGAUACAAAAACAUACAGAGAUAAUUAAAUUUCUUUUUGCUAGAUGUUUCUUUUAGAGUGCAUAUAAGAAUACCAUGAUUAUUUUGUGUAGCAAUCCAAGCCAGCGUUUCCCAGCAGGUUUGGUGCUUUUCAAGCUGUCAACAAUUAUUGUGGUUGACCAUGGGAAGGAAGCUUUUACCACUUGUGGAGAUUUCGGACCGAGUGAAGAAGGUAUACAGUCUCCUAACUUCACAACAUUUUGGUUCAGUCAUUAAUUUAUGUACAAACUAAUAUGCAAUCUCUACUGGUUGCUUCUGGGAAUCCAGACUUCCCUUUACCCAUGGAUUAUUCUUUCAUGUGCUUCUCUAUGCUGAGGUCAGCCGGUUCUGAUGUGCCGAAAAGGAGAGCAAGGGCACGGCAGUGCCUCCUUCCUAUCUUCGUGCAGGUAACCUCACUCGUCUCUCUUAAAUUUUACAAUGGGCAAAUCGUUCCUGCAGCAUGGAGCUCUAGAGUACUUAGUCUAGAUUCAACUGAGUUGCAAGUGUACCUCUGUCCAGUUAUUGAUACAUUUUCUGGUAAGUUUUAGACUUGCUAUCCUGUGUUAAUUUAAGGGCUGGCUAAAUUUUGUUUCCUUCAUGUUGCUCAUGUAGGGAGGGGUGGCGAUCUGUCUAUGAAGUUUUAGAGGUAAAUCAGGAAUAAUUUUUUUUGUGAUUCAUAGGCCAUAGUUCAGUGUCCGUGCAGUAAAUGUUGUGAGAAAUGCAACAUUUCUCUUACCAUGUUUUGGGUAAAUAUUUCAUUGGAAAGGAUUGUGCUACUAUGUACCAUAACUAUUGGAUGCAACUUUUUGCCGCAAAUAUCUUCUCGAUUUAAUUUGCACCAUUACUCUAAAUGCUUCUUCAAGUCAUGUACAGUAUCUUUGAAAUUUGUGUGUGAACUCCCAUUCCCAUUUCUCAGAGGUGUUGUAAUGAUCUGAAUGAAAGCCUUUUUAUUUGCAAGUGACAGACUACACCUUGAUACAUAUAGUUAGAAUGCACUAACCUAUUCUGCUGAUAUUGUAGCAUGUUCAUUUGGAUCAGUGAGAUGCACAUUUUCUCCUUCCUUCUCUAAUAUGUAAUUUUGAGUGUGUUACUUUGCCUCUUCUAUUGGUAAUACAAAGGUAUUAAAACUUAAUUGAUUUGAAUUUUACAAGAUGGCAUUUCUUCUUUGAGUGCAGGGAUUCAAAGGUGACCACUACUUAGUUUUCAUGGCCAUUAAAGUCGAGUGUUGAGUGGAUACUAUGGUGAGCUUAAUCAAAUAGCUUUGCGAGGAAUAGAAAGAGCCAGUGAUUGGGCAACGCUGCAUGCGUGGCUGCUUAUUCCUUCCUAGGGGUUGCCUUGUUAAGGAAACUUUUUGCUCGCAUGCCUCUCUCUCCUAGAGGCAUCCCUCCUUCUAGAUCUCAUUGUAGCUUUCAUGUGAAAGUGGCUUGAUCAUGCGCAUAAGCAGAACACAUUCAGUUUCAUUGGUGCGUGUGGAUGACCAGUGAACUUGGAAGGAUUUCUAUUCCCAUGUGAUCUACUUGGUCUAUGCCUGAGCAUCAUUCCUAAAUAUAGCUCAUCAUGCCAUUCUUUUUGAUCCAUGACCACAUCAAUGUGGAUGUUCCUAUUAAAACAAAGGUACAUAAUUGAUAUUUUCCUGGAUUAUUAAUUCCUGGAUUUUGUUGCUCAGGUUUGUCUCCCACGAUUUCGUUUACUGUGAGAUGCUAUCGACACACACGGGCACACAUGCCUAAGAUGGUCUAAGGUUCAGUUUCUGGUCACUUCAAUGAGUUUUUUCCUCAACGAAUCUCUUUGAAUUCAUAUUGUGUACCUUUUUAUAUGGUUGUUGGUUGUAUGCCUUUAAUCUCUUUGUCGAAGGCUGUUGGCAUUAAGGUUUAGUGCUUCAUUGUUCAUCAUAGUCUCAUUCCCUCGAUAAAUAAUAAUGAGGCAAUGAAAAAUAGGUGAAACUGUACGAAAUAUGAAGAAGCGGGGGAACACGAUUCAGUUUGUCAUUGGAAAUUAGUUUCCAUGGCUAAAUUACUCAACUCUACACCAUGUUUUUUCUCGCUCAUCUUGUUUAUUUCUAUAGUAUAUUUUUCUUCAUCGGUUCCAUUAUUUCUUCAAGAACCUGCAGAUCAACUCUGUUUAGAUAUGAUUUACUCCUGAAAAGAAUGAAUUGCGUUUGUGCUUUCAGCUUAGGCAAAUCUAUACCUUGAUUUCAAAUUCUACAUUCUCCUCUUUGGAUGUCGUUUCUUUUGCUAGAUGUAAUUGCAUGCUUUUGUUCCAUGACUCUUGAGUCUGCCGCUUCGUCUGCUCUGGGAUCACACCAAUAAUGUCAUCUGCUUCUUGAUACUACUGCUGUACUGAUUAGUAUCUGGCGAGGCCUUCAAGUUCUGAUGCAACUUAGAACAUCCCUCUUGAAGAAAAAGUCACGUUGACAAUAUAAAAUUGUAACUUUGAAUUUAGGAAUCACUUACCCUCACUUGCGUGUUGAUGAAUUGGCAAGAUGGCUAGCUACCUAGCAUAUAUUACUUUCCUUUUCUUGCAAGCUCAAAGAAACAAUAAUACAAAUUACUAAUACACCCAACUGGAAGUUCUGAACAACAUUACUCUUGCAUUAUCUGGACUCUGAAAUAUGCAAUAAAAUCCAGUUACAAUGUUUAUCAUUAAAAUAUCAACCACAAUAUUGCCUUAUUAGCUGUGUGGGUAUUAGUUCUGAUAAUACUUUUUUAAAUGAAGUUUGAAUGAUCAAAAUAUUACAUUCACAAUGGGCAACCAGUGAACUACUAAACUUUGUUAUAUAAAAAUCCUACUGAAUCCUUCACUCAUUUUUAAGUAUUACAGGACAGGAUGGUGAGUAAAUGACCAUGGACCAUGGUGGGGAGGCGUGGUGUUGAGCCACUGAUGGAGGCACUACACUGUCAGGAUGUGUCUUUCGUGAUGCCAAUGAGGCAUGGCAGCAUUUGUUCUACCGGAAGGUGCUACAAUUAGGCGGUCUCUUAGUCCUUCAUCUCUAUUUUGUGUUGCUGCUUCUACUUUUGUUGUCUAAUGCAUAUAGUUGGAGGAUUUCGAUCAAAUGUCCCUAUUAGUGAAUACUGUGUUCUUAUGUAUUUCCAAGAAACUUUUUUGUUUUGACAACAAUUGGUGAGUUAGAACUAAAAGGGACCAUAUCAGAUAAUCAUUUGUAACUCUGUUAUGCAAGCCAAUUUAAAAAGUUUGUCGUAUUAUUGAUUGAUGGGUUAUAUAAUCCUCACAUUAUGGUACAGUGUGAGUGAUUUUGCAUGUGUUA